rnacentral:rRNA from 1 species
UACGAAGGGUGCAAGCGUUACUCGGAAUUACUGGGCGUAAAGCGUGCGUAGGUGGUUCGUUAAGUCUGAUGUGAAAGCCCUGGGCUCAACCUGGGAAUGGCAUUGGAAACUGGCGACCUAGAGUGCGGUAGAGGGUAGUGGAAUUCCCGGUGUAGCAGUGAAAUGCGUAGAGAUCGGGAGGAACAUCCGUGGCGAAGGCGACUACCUGGACCAGCACCGACGUUCAGGCACGAAAGCGUGGGGAGCAAACAGG